rnacentral:ncRNA from 2 species
AAAAUUCACCAGGGGUGCUCUGAAAUUAAUCAGGGCUGAGAAACACCCUUAUAACCUGCACUGGAUAAUGCCUGCGGAGGGAGAGUGAUGAUAUCCACAC